AUUGAACGCUGGCGGCAGGCCUAACACAUGCAAGUCGAACGAGUGGCGGACGGGUGAGUAAUUUCUGGGAACCUGCCCGAUGGAGGGGGAUAACUACUGGAAACGUUGGCUAAUACCGCAUACUAUCGUAUGUGCCCAGGUGGGAUUAGCUAGUCGGUGGGGUAAAGGCUCACCUAGGCGACGAUACCUAGCUGGUCUGAGAGGAUGACCAGCCACACUGGAACUGAGACACGGCACAGACUCCGACGGGAGGCAGCAGUGGGGAAUAUUGCACAAUGGGCGCAAGCCUGAUGCAGCCAUGCCGCGUGAAUGAAGAAGGCCUUCGGAUUGUAAAGUACUUUCGGUGGGGAGGCGUUACUCAAAGAGGAAGCAACGGCUAACUACGUGCCAGCAGCCGCGGUAAUUC
rnacentral:rRNA from 1 species